rnacentral:rRNA from 1 species
GACGAACGCUGGCGGCGUGCUUAACACAUGCAAGUCGAACGAAGAGCGAUGGAAGCUUGCUUCUAUCAAUCUUAGUGGCGAACGGGUGAGUAACGCGUAAUCAACCUGCCCUUCAGAGGGGGACAACAGUUGGAAACGACUGCUAAUACCGCAUACGAUCUAAUCUCGGCAUCGAGGAUAGAUGAAAGGUGGCCUCUACAUGUAAGCCAUCACUGAAGGAGGGGAUUGCGUCUGAUUAGCUAGUUGGAGGGGUAACGGCCCACCAAGGCGAUGAUCAGUAGCCGGUCUGAGAGGAUGAACGGCCACAUUGGGACUGAGACACGGCCCAGACUCCUACGGGAGGCAGCAGUGGGGAAUCUUCCGCAAUGGACGAAAGUCUGACGGAGCAACGCCGCGUGAGUGAUGACGGCCUUCGGGUUGUAAAGCUCUGUUAAUCGGGACGAAAGGCCUUCUUGCGAAUAGUGAGAAGGAUUGACGGUACCGGAAUAGAAAGCCACGGCUAACUACGUG